UGGGGAAUAUUGCACAAUGGGGGAAACCCUGAUGCAGCAACGCCGCGUGGAGGAAGAAGGUUUUCGGAUUGUAAACUCCUGUCUUUUGGGACGAUAAUGACGGUACCAAAAGAGGAAGCCACGGCUAACUACGUGCCAGCAGCCGCGGUAAUACGUAGGUGGCGAGCGUUGUCCGGAAUUACUGGGCGUAAAGGGCGCGUAGGCGGCCUGUUAAGUCAGAUGUGAAACCCCCAGGCUCAACUUGGGGCAUGCAUUUGAAACUGACGGGCUCGAGUGUCGGAGAGGAAAGCGGAAUUCCUAGUGUAGCGGUGAAAUGCGUAGAUAUUAGGAGGAACACCAGUGGCGAAGGCGGCUUUCUGGACGAUAACUGACGCUGAGGCGCGAAAGCGUGGGGAGCAAACAGGAUUAGAUACCCUGGUAGUCCACGCUGUAAACGAUGGAUACUAGGUGUGGGAGGUAUCGACCCCUUCCGUGCCGCAGUAAACGCAAUAAGUAUCCCGCCUGGGGAGUACGGCCGCAAGGUUG
rnacentral:rRNA from 1 species